AGAGAACAUGUUUUUUGAUUAUGUUUUUAUUAAUUAUUAGAAAUACGAUUAAAAGGGACCAAAAGCAAUUCUUUUUGACCGUUAUUUGUUAUGUAUUUACUUUUAACAUGACAAUUUGAUAAACUCGGGAGCUUCGCUGUAGGUGUUUAAGUUUGUUUGUGUGCUAAAGUUAUUUUCGAAUCAGUUACAGUCCAAAUUAAAUC